UGUGGGGCUGCGCGGGCCAGCCGGCAGCAGCCCGCUUACUGCUUCUCCUGCCCGCCGCACCGCCUGCAGCCGCCGUCCGAAGACUGGCGCCGGCUUGUCGUUACUUUCGCCGGGCUCCAUGAUGCACACUAGUCAGAGUCUAGUCAGGUACGAUGCCACUGACUUCAAACACCGGUUUACAAGAUGGCAGUGGAAUGGGACAUAUUCAUAUAGUCCCGCUAAACUGAAAUUGUUUGGCCUAUUUUUCAGACGACACUCCUUACCUAUGUUAAAGAAGCCUGCUUCUUAACUUAACUUUUGUCAAUAGUCUCCUGUUUUGUUUUGUUUUGUUGUUGUUGUUCUGUUUUUGUUUCUGUUUUGUUUUUUGAGGUUUCCCGGACUCGCUUUGUAGACCAGGCUGCCCUUGAACUUGCAGAGAUAUGCCUGCAUCUGCCUCCCAUCUGCAUGCGUCACCACAACCAGCUUUUGAAGUAAGCGUUAAAUAAACUUUCACCUUACCUGAGAUCGGUGUCCUAGUGGUCAGUGCGUUCUAUCUUGGACCCCAAGAUACACUCGGUGAGAAUGACUUUGUGGAGGAGAGCAAGUCUUCAAAAAGGACACUGAAGAGGCCUGGUUCCCCCAGUACUCCACUGCAAGCUAAUUCUACAGAUUCUGAAAUGUGUGACCUACCAAUAACAGCUACCUGUUCUGACAAAAAAGGAGCAUAAAAAAGGAGGACAGUUGGCUGAAAGCAUAAACUCAACAGGCUUAAACCAACAACAAAAAUCAUGGUAUACCUUCAGCCACAGUGAUUGGUUCCACAACUGGCAUGUGGACAAGGGACUCAUUUUGAAACUAUUUACAUUUUGGUAGAGAUUUUUGGGAAAGAAGCUUCCUUAAACUGAUAUUUCCAAGUUUUCUUGCUGAUUGUGGAUAUAUCCAACCUUUUAAUGGUAUCCAAAUAGAACAGAAUGAGUGUGGACUCUGGCAGAUCUUUUAUUUGGGAAAGUGCUUCUUCUACCAGACCCACACUGAGAGGAGAACCAUUGCUCAAGGACAUAGCCAUAUUUCCAAGUAUGCAGAACACGAUCUCAUGAAUCCUUAAAUGAGUCUAUUUUAUAGAUGAUAGUUGUACAAACUACCAAAUGAAAAUGUAAUGCCCAGUUCAUGAGACCCCAAAGACCACCAGGAAUCAACUCUGAUGCAAGCGCAGGAGGGUUUAUUAUACAAGCUCGAGCUUGGGCAACAAAUCUCCCUGACUCAGCAGGAGAGGAAUGCAGCCCCCGAAGGGGCCUAGCUUGAGAACAACCAAGAAAACUGGGAAGUUUCCACUAAUUGCCAAGUGCAGAGUGGACCCUCUUCCCUCUGCCACCCCUCCCCGGGGACUCAGACCUCACAGACAGUUGCCGGAAACACCCCAAGGACACAGAUGGGGCAGGCAGUCCUUAGAAAAACUGAAACUUCGGCGAUUUGACCCUGACCACACUGGCCACCCGCCCUACUGGAAUGUCCCAAGCACGUAGCCAGACCCCAAAUAUCCCCUGAUUCUAAGCAGCCAAUUAUUUUAAAAUAUCCACCAAUGAAAAACUGCCCUGUUGCUAUUUUCAAAGUUUGCCUAUGCCUAAAUGUAUAAAACCCUUUUGUUCCUUGGGGUCGCCUCUCCUUAUGGUGCAGGAUGACCCCAACAGGUUGGUUUCAAUAAACUUCUUGCUGUUUGCAUCAA